UACAGAGGGUGCAAGCGUUAAUCGGAAUUACUGGGCGUAAAGCGUGCGUAGACGGUCAUGUAAGUCGGGUGUGAAAGCCCCGGGCUCAACCUGGGAAUGGCAAUGGAAACUGGCGGGCUGGAGUAUGGCAGAGGGGGGUGGAAUUCCGCGUGUAGCAGUGAAAUGCGUAGAUAUCUGGAGGAACACCGGUGGCGAAGGCGGCAUCCUGGACCGACACUGACACUGAGGAGCGAAAGCCAGGGGAGCAAACGGG
rnacentral:rRNA from 1 species